GACAUGUUAACCAUCCAGGCCAUGGGGGGGAACAGACAUGUUAACCAUCCAAGCCAUGGGGGGGAACAGAAGGAAGAAGAACAACCUGCACAGAGUAUUGACCAGAAGUUACUUGAAAGUGUAUUGUGUGGAUCAAUACAUUUAUUUUAGAUGUAUUAUAUCUAUGCAUUUAAUUUAUUUUAAAACAAUUAAUUAUUCUGUUUUUUUCAUAAUUCUCAGACAACAGCAAAAAAAUCCAGGAGGAGAGCCAGACUCUAAAAGUUUAAGAGUGAUUUGGGUGUAGGCGAUGAGACUCUGUACAACUGGACAACGGCAGUUCAGCAAUGGGUUAAUACAGGACAACGGCAGUUCAGCAAUGGGUUAAUACUGGACAACGGCAGUUCAGCAAUGGGUUAAUACUGGACAACGGCAGUUCAGCAAUGGGUUAAUACUGGACAACGGCAGUUCAGCAAUGGGUUAAUACUGGACAACGGCAGUUCAGCAAUGGGUUAAUACUGGACAACGGCAGUUCAGCAAUGGGUUAAUACUGGACAACGGCAGUUCAGCAAUGGGUUAAUACUGGACAACGGCAGUUCAGCAAUGGGUUAAUACUGGACAACGGCAGUUCAGCAAUGGGUUAAUACUGGACAACGGCAGUUCAGCAAUGGGUUAAUACUGGACAACGGCAGUUCAGCAAUGGGUUAAUACUGGACAACGGCAGUUCAGCAAUGGGUUAAUACUGGACAACGGCAGUUCAGCAAUGGGUUAAUACUGGACAACGGCAGUUCAGCAAUGGGUUAAUACUGGACAACGGCAGUUCAGCAAUGGGUUAAUACUGGACAACGGCAGUUCAGCAAUGGGUUAAUACUGGACAACGGCAGUUCAGCAAUGGGUUAAUACAGAGGAAACAGCUGAGAACAUGGAUGGUCCCCGGGGUACUACAGAGAACAAUAGAAGUCGUGUUUCUGCAUCAAAACAAAGGAAACAGAACCCUGUACCGUCAGACAGAUGGAUGCAAGAAAAGACACCCUCUGAGCAGAAAGAUAUUGGAAGAAAAGGCCAAAUUGACAGCUGCCAUAGAGGAGUACAACACCCUUUGUACCAGGUUCAGCAAUACCAUCUGUAGAGGAGAUCCUUUACGCAGACCUUCCUGCCUGGCCUUGAGGAGCUGCACGGACAAACCUUUGACCUGGUGAUGCUCCUGACACGCCGAAGGAGGAGGAGUUAAUUGUCCUACAGGAAGUCCAGCAGCACUGGGAAAGCCUAAAGAGAGGAAUCGGAGAAUGUGCAAGACCUUGCUUCACAUGUGGCACCUGACCUAAGCAGGCAAAGCUGACAAAUUGAAUCAGUCGGAAGCUGGGAGCAGAGGUCUCUUCUCCAUGCUUCAGAGGAGAGUCAGCAGCCUCAGAAGACACCAGGACUCUGUCCAACUGAUAUACAGCAAAGCUAUGGGCCAAGACACCUCCCUCCUAGAAGAUAACUUCAUAGAUGACCUCGUGGAAGAGGACCUAGAUGACAUCUAUGACAGCGUCCACUACAGCUCUGAUGACGAGGAAUCUGUCCCAGACUGACGGUGUUCGUUUGGGACAGGUAUAGCUGGGUGAGUGGGGGCACCACCGUGGACCUCAGGCAGACAUGCUGGAGCAGGAGACUGGGACUGGGGGAGCACCAACAGACAUGCUGGAGCAGGAGACUGGGACUGGGGGAGCACCAACAGACAUGCUGGAGCAGGGGACUGGGACUGGGGGGGGCACCAACAGACAUGCUGGAGCAGGGGACUCGGACUGGGGGGGGCACCAACAGACAUGCUGGAGCAGGUGACUGGGACUGGGGGGGCACCAACAGACAUGCUGGAGCAGGGGACUGGGACUGGGGGAGCACGAGCCGUCUGCCUGGGUGAUGCUGCCUUCCACACUGAUGCCAAGAAGGUUUGGGAUGUGAAGAAGCUGUCACCUCCAUGCAUGGGAUACAGUUACAUUAUGUGUGUAGUACUGUACAAAAUCUCUUUUGUCAUUUUAAUAAUCAUUAAAAAAAAGCUCAGAAAAGCUCAAAGACAAACUAGAUGGACGAGAUGGGAUAAAAUACUGUGUUCAUAUCAGAAAAGCUCAAAGACAAACUUGAUGGACGAGAUGGGAUAAAAUACUGUGUUCAUAUCAGAAAAGCUCAAAGACAAACUUGAUGGACGAGAUGGGAUAAAAUACUGUGUUCAUAUCAGAAAAGCUCAAAGACAAACUAGAUGGACGAGAUGGGAUAAAAUACUGUGUUCAUAUCAGAAAAGCUCAAAGACAAACUUGAUGGACGAGAUGGGAUAAAAUACUGUGUUCAUAUCAGAAAAGCUCAAAGACAAACUAGAUGGACGAGAUGGGAUAAAAUACUGUG